rnacentral:rRNA from 1 species
AUGUCGCUGAUUCCCCGCGGCAACGCCUUCGACCCCUUCUCCCUCGACCUCUGGAACCCCUUCGACGGCUUCCCCUUCGGCUCCGGCAGCAGCGGCGGCGGCGGCAGCCUCUUCCCCUCGUUCCCGCGCAUCAGCUCCGAGACCGCGGCCUUCGCCGGCGCGCGGAUCGACUGGAAGGAGACGCCCGAGGCGCACGUGUUCAAGGCGGACGUGCCGGGGCUGAAGAAGGAGGAAGUGGAGGACGGCAACGUGCUCCAGAUCAGCGGCGAGCGCAACAAAGAGAAGGAGGAGAAGACCGACACGUGGCACAGGGUGGAGCGCAGCAGCGGCAAGUUCCUGCGCAGGUUCAGGCUCCCGGAGGACGCCAAGGUGGAGCAGAUCAAGGCGGCCAUGGAGAACGGCGUGCUCACCGUCACCGUGGCCAAGGAGGAGGCCAAGAAGCCCGAGGUCAAGUCCAUCCUGAUCUCCGGAUAG